CUAGCCUCUGCAUUUUUUCCUGUCCAAUCUAUUCCCUGGCUAGCUUGUGCAGAAGUGUCUACAAUAUCGCUAUUACUACAAGUUACAACACAAGUAUUGUGCCAGACACUAUGUAGGUCACUACAGCUGUCCCAAAACAACUGAGCUACAAGCAGAGAGUUGCAAGAGACCAGAACGAGACUGAAAAUAACAAACACUUUGAAGUGUUCUAGGUCAUGCCUGGAAGCUGUGGGAAGUCAGUGGGGGAAGAGUUAUUCCACACAAUUAAUAACCUGGAUGAAGAUAUGAAUUUGGUGUUCAUCAUUUCCUCCUCUCAUUUCUGCAGUGAAUACUUCAAUGACGCACUUCAGUGUAAAACUAGGAAUUCCUACUUUUUUCUCUUUUACGGUUAUCCUGAUUGCAUUCAGUAUUCUUUCUGGAUAGUAAGAUUUGCCACAGAAAAAAAAUACACUUGUCAUUUAUCUUCCUGAUCUACCAGACACAGUUAUUUGUCAUUGGCAAUUUCCUUCCUUACCUCUUAGAUCCCAUUUUCUUCUCCCAAACUUCCCAAUCCCAUACUUCCUCAACCCCCCUAAGGGUCUACCUUAUGCUAUUUAUGUACCCCUUGCAAGCUGUCCUGCCCAGCAAAGACGCAUGAGGAGCGGCUGAGGUCCCUUGGUUUGCUCAGCCCCGAGCAGAGCAGGCUGAGGGGAGGCCUCAUGGCGGCCUGCAGCUCCCUCACGAGGGGAGCGGAGGGGCAGGCGCUGAGCUCUGCUUUCUGGGGACAGCGACAGGACCCGAGGGAACGGCAUGGAGCUGGGACAGGGGAGGGUCAGGCUGGGGGUUAGGGAAGGGGUCUGCACCCAGAGGGUGGUCGGGCACUGGGACGGGCUCCCGUGGGAUGUGGUCCCAGCACCGCCUCACGCGGGCGCCCAGCGGGGCAGCAGCGCCCUCCAUGGGCACCGACCGCUGCCUGGCGGCGCCGCCGAGCCCCGGGCACCCCCGUUCUGCCAUGGCCGGGACGUGUCGCCCUCAGGGAGCCCGAACCAUGUCAGACACCUAGCAGGGAAGGGCGCUUUGUCCCCCAAAGCCGGCGUGGGGUUGAGGGCGGGCACAGCUCGCUGCCCGCCCCCUGCUCGGCCCCUUCUCCUCCCUGCCGCCGCUCCUCCUUCCCUCCCCGCCGCACCGGCGAGGCUGCGGGGCCGGCGGGGAAGGCGGCGCUGCCUGCGGGGAGGAAGCCGGAUGAAGCCCCUCGGGCAUGCAGCGAGCCGCGGGGACCCUGCCCAGGAGCCCAGCGGCGGCAUCAGGGACCCUUUGCAAGCACUACUGCUGCCCCAAAGAAGUCAGUACUUCCUCUGAUCACAGAUGCUACUUACAUUGGUGCAAGCCAAGGACAAAAACUUCUGCAGUUGUUUUCUUGUGCUCAGGUACAUGGGAAGCUGGUGAGAAUUCUUUUACUUGAAGUAACUCAUACAUGUUUGCAAGUUCAGUUCCUAGUGGUGAACCUGGCAGGUAUCUUCCCAGUGAUUCAAGAAACUAGUUCAUUCAUAUGACUUGCAGGAUACUUAUUUUUGUACAGCUGUCAGGACUGUCUGAUUCAAGAUGAGUCAGGACCAUGAAACUAAUGUUUCGCUUUGUGGCAAAUACUCACCAAAGCCCUGUAGACAGAGACAUCUUACUGUUGCCUUGUGUUGCCUUAGUGGAUGGCUA
rnacentral:lncRNA from 1 species